rnacentral:rRNA from 1 species
UACAGAGGGGGCAAGCGUUGCUCGGAAUUACUGGGCGUAAAGGGCGCGUAGGCGGGAUGGCAAGUCGGUCGUGAAAUCCCUCGGCUCAACCGAGGAACGUCGAUCGAUACUGCUGUUCUUGAGGAUUGCAGAGGAGACUGGAAUUCCACGUGUAGCGGUGAAAUGCGUAGAGAUGUGGAGGAACACCAGUGGCGAAGGCGACUCUCUGGUCUGUAACUGACGCUGAGGCGCGAAAGCGUGGGGAGCGAACAGG